ACAUUCGGUAGGUAAGGCUACCACAGGGAUACGGAUUGCUGCCGCGUAGAAGUGGAGACACUUCGGGUUGGUCAGCAGGCUAUGUCGAAAUCAAGGCAUAACUUAACGCAAUUUCAUUGCCCUGUGAUGCUAAAGCUUGAACGAUGAA
rnacentral:sRNA from 1 species